UAAGACCCCUUGAAGACGACAAGGUAGAUAGGGCAGAGGUGGAAGCACGGUAACGUGUGGAGCUGACUGUUACUAAUAGGUCGAGGGCUUGACCAAAAA
rnacentral:rRNA from 1 species